rnacentral:rRNA from 1 species
CCUACGGGAGGCAGCAGUAGGGAAUAUUGCUCAAUGGGGGAAACCCUGAAGCAGCAACGCCGCGUGAGGGAUGAAGGUUUUAGGAUUGUAAACUCCUUUUGUUAGGGAAGAUUAUGACGGUAUCUCACUAAGAAGCACCGGCUAACUCCGUGCCAGCAGCCGCGGUAAUACGGAGGGGGCAAGCGUUACUCGGAAUCACUGGGCGUAAAGAGUGCGUAGGAGGGGUAAUAAGUCAGAAGUGAAAUCCUGUAGCUUAACUACAGAACUGCAUUUGAAACUGUUACUCUGGAGUGUAGGAGAGGUAGGUGGAAUUCUUGGUGUAGGGGUAAAAUACGUAGAGAUCAAGAGGAAUACUCAUUGCGAAGGCGACCUACUGGAACAUUACUGACGCUGAGGCACGAAAGCGUGGGGAGCAAACAGGAUUAGAUACCCGUGUAGUC